AAGUUUACCAAGAAGUUGGAACAACCGGUCCUUAAACGACAAAUGCGAUUGGUUAGUUCUAAUGGAAUAAUCGACCGAUAAGCUAAUCGGAGAUAGGAAAAUUGGUCCAUAUAUAUGGACUUUUAUGGACUUUAUCGAGCGCCUGCACCAUCCGCUUUUAGUGCAUCGUCACACGGUCGCGUCGCGACACAUACUAACACAUACGCUUGCGUACUUGUGUUUGUCUCAUCACUCUUGUCCGUCGUCGUCGCCGCAUGAUUCGUAUCGGUUCGCACGUGUCGUCUAGAAUCUGGAAUUGACGAAGCAUCCAGAAGCAUCGAAGCAUAAUAUCGGAAGUGGAAGUGAGCAAAGUUUCUGCCGAUUUGAAUAAAUUGAAGAUUAUUUCAGUUGAAGAUUUUUCAACUGAUUUCAGGAGAUUUUUACAAGAUUAUUAAACUUGUUUGUAACAAAGUGUUUUUCUUAUUAUAAAUUAAUAAAUAAUGGAAUACACUGAAAAACGAAAUCAUAAAAAGCGUUUAAGAAAGGCUGGUGAACGACUGAAACGAUCAUUAACAAUAAUUAAUAAUGCUUCUUUUCAUUUGAACGCUGAUACAUUGUCUACGGAUAACAAUAAUUUAAAUAACACUUCGAUUGAACAAAAUAGUCCUUUGUCGAUUAAUACUAGCAACACUUUAUUAUACAAUUCAUUAUCUUUAAAUAAUCUUACAAAUUUUGAUUUUGCGGAAAAAGAUGAAUAUGAAAUGGAAUCUUCAACACUUAUAACAGAAUCUUUAACAUUUGAGAAACAUACGAAUAUUAAUUCUCAGUCGUGCACAACAAGUAUUUCUUCAAGUGAUAAUAAAACGAUCGAAGAGACUUUUAAAUCUGCCUUAGCACAGUGAGCAAUUAGUGAACGCAUUAAUUUGUCGUCUAUAGGAAAAUUGCUUGGAGUUCUGCGUAUAUUGCCUUCAUUAAAGAAUGUUUUGCCAAAGGAUCCUAGAACAUUUCUAAAAACACCUCGUGCAUUACGUGUAAAAGAAAUAAGCUCGGGCUUGUUCUAUUAUUUCGGAAUUGAAAGUUCUUUGAAUGCACUUGUAAUUAAACAUAGGAUAAAAUUUCAUACCAAUCAAGAUAUAGAUCUGACUGUAAAUAUUGAUGGGCUUCCUAUAUCAAAAAGUACGAGCAGUACUUUAUGGCCAAUAUUAUGUUCAAUAAAAUCUGUGCCAGCUCUGAAAGGAAAAGUAUUUUUAGUAGCUCUUUUUCAUGGCCGUGAAAAACCAGACCCACAAAAGUUUUUAACCGAUUUUAUUAAUGAAUGUAUUCACUUAUCAUGCAGUGGUAUUACAAUUGACUCGAUUCGUUGUAAUUUUAAAAUUUUAAUGUUAAUUUGUGACACGCCAGCGAAAUCGCUUGUUCUAGCUACUAAAGGUCAUUCCGGAUAUUAUUCGUGCCCAAAAUGCACAAUAACAGGGGAUAUGUACAAUAAUGUAAUGUGUUUUAUUGAAACGGACUGCACUAAGAGAACCGAUAGUUCAUUCCGAAAUAAAGAACAACCUGAGCAUCAUGUUGGUUCAAGCAGUUUAUUAAACUUACCUAAUUUUGAUUUGAUUAACAAUGUUCCCGUAGACUAUAUGCAUGCGCUUUUAUUAGGUGCAUGCAAGAGGCUUUUGUGUCAUAAUCGGUACGGCUGGAUUUUUGGAAAACCUCCACAUAAAUUGUGUGCUCAAAAUGUCCAAAAAAUAUCGCAACAAUUGUCGAGAUUGAAAAAAUAUAUUCCAUGUGAAUUUUCUCGUAAAACAAGAUCAAUAGAAGAGUGUAAAAGAUUUAAAGCCACAGAAUUUCGAUUCUUUUUAUUGUACAGUGGUCCGUUAGUGUUAAAAAAAAUAUUACCCGCAUCUAUAUAUCAUAAUUUUUUAACGCUAAGUGUAGCAAGUUUAAUUCUUAUAAGUCCGCGUUAUGCUACUUCUGAGAAAUUCAUUUCUUAUGCUGAAGAACUUCUAAAAUGUUUUAUACGAAAUUCAAUUAAUUUAUACGGUCCAGAUUUCAUCUCCCACAGCGUGCACUGUCUGAUACAUUUAAGUGAUUGUGUUCGAUUGUUUGGGCCGCUGGACAAUUCGAGUGCGUUUGAAUUUGAAAAUUAUCUUCAGAUAUUGAAACAUUUGAUUCAAAAACAUGAUCAACCAUUACAACAAAUAAUUUGACGCAUUUAUGAAGAACAACAUUUAUUUAAGCCAGAAAGUUCAGUACAGUAUAAUACAGAUUCAGUGCAGUUGCUAAUGCCACAUCAUUAUGGACCGUUAAUUAAUGGAUGUACACCUCCACAAUAUAAAAAAAUGAAAACCAUAGAUUAUUGUAUAAAUAUUACAACAAAAGCAGACAGGUUUGUGGAAAUGAAUGAUGGUACUGUUAUAGAAGUGCAAAAUAUUGCUUGUUAUGAAAAUUCAACAGUGUUAUUGGGUUACACAUUUCGGGAAAUUGGAGAAUUUUUUAAAAAACCAUGCCCAUCAACACAUUUUGAUAUAAAGAUCGUAAUUAAAGAAGAUUCAGAACUUAAAAUUUGGAAAACGAACAUGAUUAAUAGAAAACUAGUUGUGUUACCAUAUAAAAAUCAAUUCGUAUGUUUCCCAUUGUUGCACAAUUAAUUUAUAUAUAAGUUUGAAUUAUGAAUAAAUAUAUUUGUUAUUUUGUUACUCUUUUUAGCAUAGUAUUAAUUAAAUAAAUAGUACUCAUAAAAACGAAAUAGUGUAGAAAAUGCUAGGCAUAAUGCCGUGGAUAGUAAUAAAAUUCAAUAAAGAAAAUAAAGUUGACGCUGUACUCACAACAUGGUAUAACAAACAGAAUAAGCAAUGUUAUUGGCCGCCAAAGAAAAUGAGCCAUAAAAUUGCCGAAUUUAUAAAAAAUCAACGUGAACCCGAUGAGUCGUGGAAAUUAUUUGACGCAACGCUUUUGGGCGUUUACGAUGAUUUUAAAUACGCUCAACAUAAAGCUGAAAAAGCGCAAACAACUGAUCUUUUAACCUUUAACGACGAAUCUCUAGUUUUAAGAAAGAAAAAAUGCACAAAAAAAUCUGAAAAGUUACGAGUCUCCCCUAUAUCUAGUAGCAGUGACACUGAGAUUUCUGACGAUGAUUCGAAUGAAUAUCCAGUUCAAAUUGAUAAUUUUGAUGUUUCCACAAGAAAAGCGUGGCACAAAGAAAAAAUGAACAUAAUACAAGUUUUAUUGAAAUUGAUAAAACUAUAGAAGGUGAGGAAAAGCAGAUAAAAAUGCAAUUGCUCGAAUUACAAGAAUGUCAAAAGCAAUGUCUAAAAGACAUAAAUCUCCUGCAUUUAAAAAUUGAUGCAAUUUCGGAGUCAGUUUCUUUAUUGGUAAAAAAUACAAAAACAAUAGUAAAAUCUACCAACUUGCUACAUGAACAACUGCCAAUAUUGAACUUACUUCCAAUGGAUUUGGAAGGAUUAAAUCAAGUAGAGGAGUGGUUACAAAAUGAAGAAAAUAAACAGAACUUGGUGGCAGAAUUAAGCAAAUUGGGCGGACCAACCGUGAAGGAGGUUGUGAAGUCAUGUAUAAAUUAUUUCAAAAUUCCUUAGGCAUGGAAUACUCCUGGGAAGGCAAAAAAAAGAAAAAAGUUUUUAAGUCACUUUUGAUUUCUUCAGUAAUUAUGGAUGUUGUUCGCGCAAAUAAAAAUACAGCGGAUUGUAGCGAAUACGAGAUUAUUGUAAUAAUAAAGUCAUGGCUUGUUAGAAGCAAGGAACGUUUUUAUAAUAAUACUCUAAUAAGGAACGAUGCAUCGAAACAGGUACAAACUGAACAACAAAAAAAAACACAGACUGCACCAAAGAAGGCACAGACUAAACAAAAAAACGCACCGACUGAAUCGAAAGAAAUUGAACAAGAGGAAACGUCUAUUGAACGGACUUUAUCGAAUGAAGAACAAAGAAAUGAGUGAGAGACCAGUAGCGCGGUAGGGGUAAACCCUUAUCUCACACAGUACGGCCGACUAAGAGAGACUUUGAGGCGGCGGCGUGCGGUAGAGGUGUCUGUGGAGGCUGUAUUUGUGCGAAGACGUCGAAUUGAAGAAGCCCCUGAUGCUAACGUAGCAGCAGCAGCAGCACGACCCCGCGUCAUUCCCGUUGUGGAAUUGGACUCUGAUGACGACACGCAAAAUGAGUCUAAGGUGGCACCGAGCUCGACUCCGCCGCGUUAUUUACACCGGUACAAGAAGAAAGAAAAAAGAGAAAACGGCGUGAUGGAUG